rnacentral:rRNA from 1 species
CAACAGCUCAAAUUUGAAAUCUGGCUCUUUCAGAGUCCGAGUUGUAAUUUGCAGAGGGCGCUUUGGCGUUGGCAGCGGUCCAAGUUCCUUGGAACAGGACGUCACAGAGGGUGAGAAUCCCGUACGUGGUCGCUGGCCUUCGCCGUGUAAAGCCCCUUCGACGAGUCGAGUUGUUUGGGAAUGCAGCUCUAAAUGGGAGGUAAAUUUCUUCUAAAGCUAAAUACUGGCCAGAGACCGAUAGCGCACAAGUAGAGUGAUCGAAAGAUGAAAAGCACUUUGGAAAGAGAGUCAAAUAGCACGUGAAAUUGUUGAAAGGGAAGCGCUUGCAGCCAGACUUGCCUGUAGUUGCUCAUCCGGGCUUUUGCCCGGUGCACUCUUCUGUAGGCAGGCCAGCAUCAGUUUGGACGGUUGGAUAAAGGACUCUGUCACGUACCUCCUCUCGGGGAGGCCUUAUAGGGGAGUCGUCAUGCAACCAGUCUGGACUGAGGUCCGCGCAUCUGCUAGGAUGCUGGCGUAAUGGCUGUAAGCGGCCCGUCUUGAAACACGGACCAAGGAGUCUAACAUCUAUGCGAGUGUUUGGGUGUCAAGCCCGAGCGCGCAAUGAAAGUGAACGGAGGUGGGACCCCGUAAGGGUGCACCAUCGACCGAUCCUGAUGUCUUCGGAUGGAUUUGAGUAAGAGCAUGGCUGUUGGGACCCGAAAGAUGGUGAACUAUGCUUGAAUAGGGUGAAGCCAGAGGAAACUCUGGUGGAGGCUCGCAGCGGUUCUGACGUGCAAAUCGAUCGUCAAAUUUGGGCAUAGGGGCGAAAGACUAAUCGAACUAUCUAGUAGCUGGUUCCUGCCGAAGUUUCCCUCAGGAUAGCAGUAACGUAUUCAGUUUUA